CUCAGGACGAACGUUGGCGGUGCGCUUAAUGCAUGCAAGUCGAGGGAGAAGCAGACGUUCCGUAAGGUUCGACUGUGGAAACCGGCGAACGGGUGCGUAACACGUGAGAAACCUGCCCCCCAGAUCGGGAUAGCCCAGGGAAACUUGGAUUAAUACCGGAUACUCUCUUUGGAUCGCAUGAUCCGUUGAGGAAACAGUCCGCUGCUGGGGGAUGGUCUCGCGGCCUAUCAGCUUGUUGGUGAGGUAACGGCUCACCAAGGCUAAGACGGGUAGCUGGUCUGAGAGGACGAUCAGCCACACUGGAACUGAGACACGGUCCAGACUCCUACGGGAGGCAGCAGCAGGGAAUAUUGCACAAUGGGCGAAAGCCUGAUGCAGCGACACCGCGUGCGGGAUGACGGCCUUAGGGUUGUAAACCGCUUUCAGGAGGGAAGAAAAUGACGGUACCUCCAGAAGAAGCUCCGGCCAACUACGUGCCAGCAGCCGCGGUAAUACGUAGGGAGCAAACGUUGUCCGGAUUUAUUGGGCGUAAAGGGCUCGUAGGCGGUUCAGCAAGUUGGUCGUGAAAACCCGGAGCUCAACUCCGGGACGCCGAUCAAAACUGUUGUGACUAGAGUUCGGUAGAGGUGAGUGGAAUUCUCGGUGUAGCGGUGGAAUGCGCAGAUAUCGAGAGGAACACCAUUAGCGAAGGCGGCUCACUGGGCCGAUACUGACGCUGAGGAGCGAAAGCGUGGGGAGCAAACAGGAUUAGAUACCCUGGUAGUCCACGCCGUAAACGAUGAACACNAGGUGUAGCGGACNGANUCANGUCUGCNGCGCCGUAGCNAACGCANUAAGUGUUCCGCCUGGGGAGUACGGCCGCAAGGCNAAAACNCAAAGGAANNGACGGGGCCCCGCACAAGCGGCGGAGCANGCGGCNUAANUCGANGCAACCCGAAGAACC
rnacentral:rRNA from 1 species